GAAUUCGUGCCAAAAAAAAGAAUUGGCCUUUCUUUAUAUAUAUAUAUGCACGAAGUGUUUGAUUUCUCUAACUAUCGCUGAUUAAUACAUAAAUCUCUGUUAUUGUUUUACAGCUUUCUCUUUGAUUCAUCAAAACAUCAUCCGGAGGUACAAGGUAAUCAAAAUUCUUGUUUUUUUGUAAACCCUAACCCCAUUCACCAUUGGUAACCCCUAUCCUUAUUCUUCUUCUCUCUUUUCAGAACCCUUAUCUAAUUAACUAACUCUAUUUUUUUUUUAAUAUAUCUGAUUGACAUACGUCGGAAUCUAUAUGAGGACUCUGUUGUUCAGAUUGUUCUAUGUCGUUUUAUCCAGAUGCACGCUUGCCAGAAGAAUCAGUGUAUCACAAUGUGGAAACAACACGGGGAAGAAACGUAAUAUUUGAUAUACCCGGAAGUUCUAACAUAGGGUGCGGUGCUGCAACCAGCGACAACCCAGGGAGCGCAAGCUUAUUAUAUCUGCCUUUUUUGAUCAAGAUCCGAAAAAACUUCAGUCAGUCGAUCAAUUGCAUUAAUUCAUUAGAAAAAAAUUAUCAGUUAUAGCUCCUACUACUAAUGGAAGUGGAAAACAGCACGGAGCAGGGCAAAUUUAUUUACAUUUUCCAUUUGUGAUCAAGAUCCGCAACAGCUUAGUCAGUCAGGUGCCUCAGUCUUUGUUGGCUGAUUAUUGCACAUAUGUUGUAGCUUAGUGGAUGGUUCAUUAACAAAGCAAGUAAUGCCGGAGCACCUGAUGGAAUGCUAGGUGAAAUUCGAGGGGAAAUUCCAGGUAAGAGAUGCUUUGAGAAAUCUCUAGGACUUCAUUUGUGUCUUCAAUAAUUACUUUAUUUGUCCAUAUUCUUUUGUGAAUAAUACAUCUUGGGAUAAUGCAUUGUUGAUAAAAAGUUAAAGUGCAUUGUUGAAUCUGAACCAUCGUAACAGAAUUCAGAUGAAGUUGUGUACAGUCCCGUUCAACGCGUUCAUAAUAAAUAUUUAUGUAUAAUCUGUUUGCUGUUUAUUUAUGCUUAUUAUCCAUUUUCUUCUGCGUAGAAUAUAAAUUAACAGAUACAUUAAUAUAUAUUGAGUUGGAAUUUCUUUUAGUCGAGAUCUUAUCUUCCCCUGUUAAAUUGCGUUGAUAGUCAUUCUUUUAGUCUCUCUACAGGCAGAUUUGGAUUCCAUAUUCCCAAAUCUACAAAAAACACCCGAAAUCAAUUUUUUCAUGCGUGUUUUCUGAAAUUUUUUAUUAGACCCCCUAGAAAUUUGAAAGUUAGCCAAGAGUUUGUUUUUUGCCCACCUAGACCUUGAACCCUGCUUCCUUCGAUACCAGAUUUAAGCGUGGAUGUACCCCUUAUGGAAAUGAUUGUUAAUUUGUUAUCAGCAUCUUUGUGAAAACAACUUAUCAGGUAUAAUUUCAAGCUUAGGCAAUUUUUCUCUAUCCGCGUUUGUAUAUCUUCUGUCGAACAUGAUCUAUUUAACUACUUCAUAGUAACUGUAUUCUGAUUCCAGUAGUUGGGGUCCCAUUUUGUUUUGGAAGUUGCUUAGUGAAGGUAGCAUCUAAUCUAACUUGCAUUUCCGUGUGGGGUAAGUAUACGUGGCUGGAUUGCAUCUGAAAUUUAGUAUUUCCGUUCAUCAAUUUUGUAACUACAUGAGAAUGGGAAGUCUAUUCUUGAGGUAUAAUUUUGAGUUGGUACAUACCUAUUUAGGAAUUUCUUAGGCAUUUAUCAGUAACUACCGUAGCUUUCCAUUUUGAACAUUACAUCUCAAAUACUAGCUCAGGUAACAAUCUUUUCUUUAAUUUCUUUUUAUUUCUUCUAUAUUGAGUACUUGCUAUCUUAGCUCAAAUGGAAGAGCACAUGUUUUUCAACCAUGUAUAUGUGCGGUUCGACUCCCACAGAUGGUAUUCUUAUUUGAGUAGGCUAAAACCUUACAGGAUUCCGGUGACAAUAUUAAAAGGGGCGUCAUAUGUAUCAUUUUUGGUCAUGACUCAUUGGACUAAUUAGAGUUGCACCUGCAACAAAGGAACACUUAGAAUUUUGCCAUUAGCAAAGAUAGAUUUGUUGCUUCCGACGUCCGCCUCGCCAAACCAAAUCAAGGUUUAAUGCACCACACCUUUUAGAAAUGACAACAAAGAGUCUGGAAUCAAGGUUUAGUGUAUCGCGACGGGGCGGUGUGUAGCACGGGUUACAUGCCAGUUUUGGUAAAAGAAAACUGUAUAAAAUUUAUGAGAAGAGAAAUAUGCCCGGAGCAUCAUUGAGCUUAAUGAAACUUUUUGCAUUUUGGAGGUACCACCUAUGGUAAGGAAGAAGGGAGAUUUCAGGAAAACAGAAAGGGAAUAGUUUUUAAGCCAAAGUAAGCUCUAAAGAUUCUUUGUUGCCAUGCAUUUUGGCCGGAUAGAACUUACUCCACCAACUAAAGUGGCGAUCCAUUAAAAUCUUUUCAAUUUUACUAGACUGCUGAGGUUCCAUGGGGUUUCUGCGACAUCAAGCACGGGGGUUUGACCAAGGUAGAAAGCUAAUGACAUCAAUGGACAUCAAGCAUGGGGAUCCCAUCAAAUCUGCCGCCUUUAGCUUCGACGACAUGAAUUUGGUGACACCAAAUAAAAAACGCAUCGGAGUGGGGGCAGGGGGAGGCAAGGCGAAGCCGAGUCACACCAAAUAAAAAAUCCUAAAUGAUGGGCGAGGCGAAGCAAAGCCACACCAAAUAAAAAACGCAUCGGAACAUAUUUAACCUAUAAAAUAUAUGUUCAUCAUCGGGACGAGGCGAAGCAACAUUACACCAAACCAAAAAUAUGGGUAAUAGAAAAAAUAAAUAAUGGUGGUUAAUUUUCGGAUCCGCCCGGCACAUAGCACGGACACAAAAUCUAGUGGAUGCUAAUAAGGAAUACCAGUUUGCUUUGGGACGUUGGUACGCCCCCUAAUGAAUGGUAUCCCUAUUAUUAAUCUUGCGUAGACAGAGAGAUUUCAGUGGCCCAUUAGAUAUUCGGUGGAUAUACUAUAUAAUGUUAAUGAUAUUCGAUGUUUUACC